CGUGUGGUGUAGCCCGGCCCAUCAUUUCGGAUUUUCAUUCCGACGACCCGGGUUCGAAUCCCGGCACG
rnacentral:tRNA from 1 species